rnacentral:rRNA from 1 species
AAUCAACGCUGGCGGCGUGCCUCAGACAUGCAAGUCGAACGAUUAAAGCUCUCUUCGGAGAGUGUAUAGAGUGGCGCACGGGUGAGUAACACGUAAGUAAUCUACCCUCGAGUGGGGAAUGACAACCGGAAACGGUUGCUAAUACCGCAUAAUGCAGCGGCACCGCAAGGUGACAGUUGUUAAAGAUUUAUCGCUUGAGGAGGAGCUUGCGGCAGAUUAGCUAGUUGGUAGGGUAACGGCUUACCAAGGCUACGAUCUGUAACCGGUCUAAGAGGACGGUCGGUCACACUGACACUGAAUAACGGGUCAGACUCCUACGGGAGGCAGCAGUCGGGAAUUUUGGGCAAUGGGCGAAAGCCUGACCCAGCAACGCCGCGUGAAGGAUGAAGUAUUUCGGUAUGUAAACUUCGAAAGAAUAGGAAGAAUUAAUGACGGUACUAUUUAUAAGGUCCGGCUAACUACGUGCCAGCAGCCGCGGUAAU